rnacentral:rRNA from 1 species
CUGGCGACCGGCAAACGGGUGCGGAACACGUACAGAACCUUCCUUUAAGUGGGGGAUAGCCCGGAGAAAUCCGGAUUAAUACCCCGUAACAUUAUGUUGUGGCAUCACAUUAUAAUUAUAGAUUUAUCGCUUAGAGAUGGCUGUGCGGCUGAUUAGGUAGUUGGUGCGGGUAAAGGCCCACCAAGCCAACGAUCAGUAACUGGUGUGAGAGCACGACCAGUCACACGGGCACUGAGACACGGGCCCGACUCCUACGGGAGGCAGCAGUAAGGAAUAUUGGUCAAUGGACGCAAGUCUGAACCAGCCAUGCCGCGUGAAGGAUGAAGGCCCUCUGGGUUGUAAACUUCUUUUAUAGGGGACGAAAUGCAGUUAUUCUUAAUUGUUUGACGGUACCCUAGGAAU